ACUCAAAUGAAUUGACGGGGACCCGCACAAGCGGUGGAUGAUGUGGUUUAAUUCGAUGAUACGCGAAGAACCUUACCAAGGCUUGAAAUCCUGCGAAUCCGCUAGAAACAGUGGAGUGCCUUCGGGAACGCAGUGACAGGUGUUGCAUGGCCGUCGUCAGCUCGUGUCGUGAGAUGUUUGGUUAAGUCCAUUAACGAGCGCAACCCUUAUCGUCUGUUACAAUUUCAGGCGAGACUGCCCCGGCUAACGGGGAGGAAGGCGGGGAUGAGGUCAGGUCAGCAUGGCCCUUACGCCUUGGGCUACACACGUCAUACAAUGGCCGGUACAACGCGAUGCCAACCCGCGAGGGGGAGCUAAUCGUACCAAAACCGGUCCCAGUUCGGAUUGGAGGCUGCAACUCGCCUCCAUGAAGUCGGAAUCGCUAGUAAACGUGGGUCAGCAUACCACGUUGAAUACGUUCCCGGGUCUUGCACACACCGCCCGU
rnacentral:rRNA from 1 species